rnacentral:lncRNA from 11 species
CCGGCGUGGGCAGGGCCACGAGAAACAGCUAGGCCCACCUCCUCGCCACUCAGUUUGGUUUGGCGAGUUAUUCUCUGUGACCUACCCAUGGAAAGGAGGGAUACUGAGAGUGAAAAUCCUUUUUGUGUGCCCCAGCGAGGAUUAUGAAACCAAUCAUGAAUAUCAAAAGCCACAGCUUAAACCAUCAAUUUGGGACAGAUGCCGUGCAGCAAUGGAUGCAACGGAAAAUGCAGCAGACACAGCAAGAAUAAAGACUGAAGGUUUCUAUUCCAUUCAGUGAUUUUCUCCCUGC